GACGAACGCUGGCGGCGUGCUUAACACAUGCAAGUCGAACGGAAAGGCCCUGCUUUUGUGGGGUGCUCGAGUGGCGAACGGGUGAGUAACACGUGAGUAACCUGCCCUGGACUUGGGGAUAACUUCAGGAAACUGGGGCUAAUACCGGAUAGGAGCUCCUGCUGCAUGGUGGGGGUUGGAAAGGUGCGGCGGUUGGGGAUGGACACGGGGCUUAUCAGCUUGUGGGUGGGGUAGUGGCUUACCAAGGCUUUGGCGGGUAGCCGGCCUGAGAGGGUGACCGGCCACAUUGGGACUGAGAUACGGCCCAGACUGCUACGGGAGGCAGCAGUGGGGAAUAUUGCACAAUGGGCGGAAGCCUGAUGCAGCAACGCCGCGUGCGGGAUGACGGCCUUAGGGGUGUAAACCGCUUUCGCCUGUGACGAAGCGUGAGUGGCGGUAAUGGGUAAAGAAGCACCGGCUAACUACGUG
rnacentral:rRNA from 1 species